CUGAGCAGAGCGUAGAUCUGCCGUUCUCCUUCAUUAUCCUCGGGGUCAACUGCCGUACUCAUCAUCUUCACGGCCUACCGCCGCCCUCCCUAAGCACAAAAGGUUGGACCUCGUUCGGUCUGGUUCGAAUCAGUUAUUUGGCUCUGAUCGCCCUCCCUAACCUGAUGAGUAGAUGGUUGAGUGAAAUGGCUUGUUCUACCACGUAAGCUGUAAAGAAGUUGAAGUAAACUUUCUGUUUUGACAAAUAUUUGGGAUUUUAGGCAGUGGAAACUUUUAAGAUCUAACUAAUUAAUAUGUUAUGGCUGUGGAUGCUGGCUAACUCCCAACACUGAGGAUCAUUUUGUAUCUGUAUACCUUUUUUUUGUGAGUGGAUCAAAACUAUAAAAAGAGGAAUUUGUAUUUCUUGUUUCCCUUUCCCCCUCUUUUUCUGGUUGUUAUUUGCUGCUUUAUCUGUUUUCAAAAUAAAUUCGGAGCAUGAGCAUCAUUUGUGUAUCACCGUCGGGGAUGGAUGAGAUUGGGCUGGCAGUGGGCGGUUUUCAUGUGGACCGUUUGCGUCCGGCUUACAGGCUUAAGGCCCAGUAGGCAAGGCCUCGAAGCCUGUCUGGUUGGUUGAAGUGAAAGUGGUACUUAUUAAUUGACUAGGUUUUAUGCACAUGUAAUGCACAUAGCAAAAUAUCAUGAUUAAGUAUUUUUAA